rnacentral:snRNA from 1 species
GAGUGGGGAUUCUCUUUGACCCCUGUCACUCCAGUGCUCUCCACGGUGUAGCGGAAUGAACUGGCUGAACAUGCUGGCGUCCGCUUCCUCAAAGGUUCAUUCCCAUCCAAAGACAGGAGGUCUGUUCUUCUGUCAAGAGUACUGAGUAGCUAGAAAUUCCAAGUAAGUUCUUGUGAUCCAUUUGGAGACCUCAGCGAAGCCCACAGCAACAAUAACAGGAAAGGAAAUACACGGUUCUAUGU